GAUCAGCUUGAUUCCCAGACAAUAUGAUCUGCCUGAAUUGGGGCAACCCUCCAGCAGGCUGGGAGGGAGGGACGAUCCCGGGAUUCGGGGCUUUGUAGGGUUUGAGCCCCCAGACGAGGUCGGUCCCUGCUUUGCCUGGAAAAGGCUGGCUUGACUGCUGAACUCUCCCAGUGGAGACAAGUAGGGUCUAAAAUGAAGGAAGAUAUCCUGUGCUGCAUGGAUCCGGCUCACCAAGCUAAGCUGCCUGCUCCUUGCUGGAGCUUCAGAAUGAAAUUUAGAAGGUCGAAAGAAAUCAUAUUGCUGUUUUCAAAGGAAAAGAGAUGCCUGCAAAAGGUAUGAUGGGGUGAUGGCGACGGCCUAGAUUAGACCAAGAUCAGAAUCCUGGUGCUAGCACUGAUUGUCAGCGUGACCUCAGUUUCAGCAAGAUCUGUAACUUUGCCGUCUCUCUACCCUGCUGGCAGAGUGAGGACAGGAGCACUUGCCUGAUGGGGUUCUCCUGGCAAGGGCUGAAUUAGUGACGCGUGUUAAGUACGUGGUUAAGGCCUCGUGCUCGGUAGCUAACGCUCAACGUAAUUUGCUUCCCAUCAUCCAUAGGAGCAAGGCUCAGAUGAGCAAGAUUAUUUGUAUUUCUAGACGAUUCUUUUACAAGCCGACCGUCUUCCAGUUUAUAGGGUUUGCACAUCUGAACUGUUUCAUCACGUUUGCAUAAAGGGAGUCAAACUACUCUCUCAGAUCUCUUCUCGCCCCCUAUCCUCAGAUCUAGCCUUACUGUCUGCAGAAAUGAUGUUUCUCCCUGAAGCAGGCCGUCAAAAUGAUAGGGUACAAUUGGAAAGAAUAUCCGAGAUGGCUGGCAGGGGUGAGGAGGGUGGGGGCAAGAUCGGCAGCAAGCGUAAGUGGGGCAGGCGGAUUGGCUGUUCCGAUCCUGGUUUUCCAGACGCUCUGCGUCGUGGGAGGGCUGUGCUUUGAUGCUGGAAGGGGUCUGAGGCAUGGGGUUUGGCAGCCGCAUUUCAUGGGUGGGGAGACUGAGGCCCAGAAAGGGGCAGUGACUCGCCUGAGGUCACACAGCCAGUUAGUGAGGAAGCCAGUGACAGGCGCCGGCCGGCUCCUCCUUCCUGCUUCUGAGUUCUUUCUAGUUCAGCUGGGAGUGACCUUUGGGACCCUAGAGAGGAUUUCACCCUACCUGGGAAGAGGUGGACCACUGCCAUUUGGCCAGAGCCUUGCUCCCCCCCCACAUUCCCAGAGAGACGAUGUGCCGUUGCCCCAAAACCUCUCUCUGGAAACAGUGGCAGUUCAGAACCAAUCUACAAAAACAAUAAGAGCUAUCAUUUCUGAGGGUUGAAUUCCAGGCACUUUAUUUAUAGUUUUCUAACCCUUUGAGGUAGGUGUUACUAUGAUUCUCAUUUUGCAGAGGAGGAGACUGAGGCUUAACUGUUAAGUGGCCUCCCCAAAGUCACCCAGCUAGCAAGUCAGAGGUAGGGUUCGAACCACGGUUCAUUUUCACUUAUGCUCUUUUCCUGUGGCAGCACCCCCCCGCUAUUAGACUCUGGCUUACGCUAGAAGUCUCCAGAAGGUGACACGGGGAGAGACGGAUCACUCACCUGGGGUCCAGCACUAGCCAAGUUUGGUAGGCGCCCGCCAGGAGGUGUGCCGGACCCUCACCCUGCGCCAUGAUGUUCUGUCCCCUUCCUGUCCCUCCUCCCACCUGUGUCUCCUGCCGAGGACAGAUCGGUGGCUAGGGACCCGGGCUCCUCUUCACACACUCAUAGCCUCUAGUAACUAAGUAUAUAUAUAUUAAGAUUAACAGAAAAUGUACCUAACAGAAAAUGCAAAGCACAGUGGCUUAAGUGCAUAAAGGUGUCCCUCUGAUGUGCAAGAGGUCCUGGUAUGGUAGCUUCACCAUCAUCUCGGGCUCAGGCUGUGUCCCUCCGCCUGCUCCGCCAUUCCCCACAUUUGGCUCCUGUCCUCAGUGUUGCAGAAUGCCUGCUGCAGCUCCAGCCAUCGUGUCCACAUUCCAGGUAGCAGGAAGCAGGAAGAGGGCACAGCGAAAGCGUCUUUCUCUAGUUGUCUCUUCUCCCUUCCAGAGAACCUUUCCAGAAUUCCUUUCCUAGGAGCUUCUCUUGCUUCACUGGCCGGAACACAGCCGUGUGGCCACACCAGGCUGUGGGACAGGACGGGAAGCAGGUUCUGUAACUGGGCGCAUCACUGCCUCAAGACCGUGGACGCUUGUGAGUGAGGCAGAAUGGGUGCCGGGGAACCAGACUCUGCCACAGCACAACUGGGUCACCUCGCCCACUUGCCAAAGGGCGGAUGGCGGAGGGAGGUGGCGUUUUGAGUGAGAGAAAACUCAAGCCACCUUUGGCGAGAAUCUUAGAUGCGCUCUGAGAUAACUGGAAAUGCCACAGACCUAGGGUUGCAACCCCUGUGCUUUCUGGGGCUGUUUGUUCUGGGGACGGCCACCAUGAUGGAAUCAAUGGUACUUCACACCUGUCAGCGGCUUGUCCCACACGGUCCCUUUUCGGAGCGUGGAUAAGUUGUAUUUCUCUGGAUGUCUGCUCCUCGUGACACAUUUAUCCUGUGGGUCUCCCGAGGUGGAUUGGAGGAAUGGGUUUCUUGGUCUGCAGGGUGCUGACGAUCACCGGGCUCUGGAAACGAACACAGACGUCACUGUGCCAGCUCUGUCUACGCACCAGGCACUAUACACGUGGCAGGUCCCACCAUCCUGACAACAGACCGACAGCCAGGGGGACUCUGAUCCCAUUUUACAGAUGAAACGUGAAGGCUCAGAGAGGCUAAGCGGCUUGCCCGAGAUCACACAGCUGGUGCUAUGGACUGAGUGUUUAUGUCCCCCCGACCGCCCAACGCCGGCCCAAAUGUAUAUGCUGCAGCCCUAAUCCCCAGUGUGGUGGUGUUUGCGGGGUGGGCAUUUCAGGGGGUAAUCAGGUUUGGAUGCGGCCGUGAGGGUAGAGCUCCCAUGAUGGGACUGGCGCCCUCGUGAAGGGGCGAAAGGCGCCGAGCUUUCUCUCCCGCUCUGCCGUCAGAGGACGCGGUGAGAAGGCAGCCGUCGACAAUCCAGGAAGAGAGGCUUCACCAGAAACCAGCCGUGUUGGUGCCCUGACCUCAGACUUCAGCCUCCAGAACCGCGAGGACCUGAUGUCUGCUGUUUAAGCCACCAGGCUGUGGUGUUUCUGUUAUGGUGGCCGAGCUAAGACAGCUGGUAACUACCGAGAGCCCAAGGUUGUUCUUUCUCCCGCCCUCUGCCCCGACACUGGGCGCAUUUCCCAAACUCACCCUCACUCCCCUUGUGGGUCCUGACUCCUAUGACCGCGGGGACAUCACAGAGACCUCCGGGCACGGGCUGUGGCCUAGAGGUCCUUCUUGUCUCCCUUCCUCCUCUUUUCUCCUCCGCUCCUGUCGUCUUAGAAAGACCCCUGUGGGAGUCCAGCCCCAUCACCUGGCCCCCAUGUGGGCCCGGGUCAGCCAUGUCUCCUUUCUGGGCCCCACGUGGCCCCGGCCCGGGGCCCAGCCCCCUUCCCCAAUCUGCACUCACGCGCAGCCCUGUGGAAAUGGUGGUGCUCCCCACAUUAGGACCCACGUGUCUGCUGGCUGGGACCAAGGGUCAUAAAUAGGAAUAAAACUUAGGCUGUCCUUGUCCCCAUCUCGGUGAGUGAAGCCCCCGAAUCUGAGGACAAAACCAGAAGCCCUCUUCUUUGAGCCCCAAGGGACAGGGAGGGCUGCGUGUGCGGCUGAGGCCCUGCUCUCCCCCCCACCUCCCCGACCCCCCGGGUGUCACAGGCUUCCAUAUACAUAAUCUAAAUAUAUGCUUUGGAAAUUGAAAACGUUCACAUAUAGAAUGCGGCUGUGGGGAAGGAAUGCUCUCUUGGAACAUGUCUCUUUAAAGACAGAAUGUGCCCAAGUGUUUUCCUGCCCUUAAGGAGACACUUGAACAUGGCAGCAGAUGUAAAAUGGAAAUUGAAGUGUCUCUCCCAGGCCACCGUACGUGGAGAAAACAGCACAAUCUAUUCUAAGCGCUCAUUAAUAGCUGGUCUCUGAGGGCCCCGGCAGCAGCCAGAGGAUUUUACUCAUUAAAAAGGUGACGAGGUAGAGUUUUGUGCCUUCCCUGCUCGUCACUGCGUGAUCCUGGUGUUCAGAUGUCGCUGGCGGACCCCAGAUGAGUGCCCCCGGCUUGCGGGCAUGGGUGACGAUGUUCUGAAAGGCUUGAAAGCAUCCCCCACUCGCUGAUGGGGCCACAAGCCCUUGCUGUUUAUCAAGUGGAUUCGUCUCUCUUCCGAGGCGGGCCCACGAUGGCAUUGUCUCGAGAAGGAAGCAGAGAGAAGAGCUUUAGCUCAUCACCUAAUAAAAGAUCAUUGGUGAUUCCCAACACGGUCCUCCAGAUGGCACCGCGAAGGACCCGGAGCCUCCAGGCGUGGUCUGGGGCAGGGGCCUGGGGUCCUCAGUGAAGUCUGGAAGGGGCCGGACCCUUGGCAGUCGAAGGCACUGGCUGACGGACAUCUCAGCCGUGCCCACUUGGACAGGGGCUGCUGAUUUUAGAGAAAGGGGGUUCUUGGCUCAUUUUUUACCCCUACUUUUUAUUUGUUCUUUUUUAAAAGUUUAUUUAUUUUGAGAGAGAGAGAGAGAGUACGUGCCUGCACAAGCAGGGGAGGGCCAGAGAGAGAGGGAGGGAGAGAAUCCCAAACAGGCACCACACGGUCACUGCAGAGCCCCACGCGGGGCUCAAACCCACGAACCGUGAGAUCAUGACCUGAGCCAAAACCGAGAGCCGUUCGCUUGACUGAGCCCCCAGGCGCCUCAAUUUGUUCUGUUUUGGGUCUCCCACUGUUCGGAUCAGUGUUUCGUCCUCUCCUCCCUCCCGUGUGAGGGGAGCGACAUCCAGUUGUCCCCACAGGCACAUAGGGAGGGCCAGUUUCCCAGGCAUCCUGAGAACUGCCUUUCUGCCCCAAAACCUCUCAGGUGGAGGCAGGAAUCCUCCCUGGCCUCCGGCAUCUUCCACGUGCACCCUCUUUCCUGUUCUGGACUUUCGCUGUUGUUUUCCUUGACUGUCGCUUCCCCUGCCCUUUCCGCAACCAGCUCUGAGGUCACCUCCUCUGAGAGGCCUUUCUUGAUGUGUCCUUCCCCCUCCCCCUCUGCUCAUUGUUAUACCGGCACAGUUUGCAAUGAGCUUGUUCACUUGGUAGCUCCCUUGCUUAUUGUCGCCUCCCCACUCUACUCAACUCGGGGGUUGGGUACAGCGGGGCCGGGGGGAGGAGACACGAACCUUCCUGGUCUUGUUUACCGGACCCCCGGUGCUCAGCUCGGUGUCUGACCCGAAAGGUACUUGAUUUAUUGAAUGGGCGAACAAACGAAGGAACGCAUGAGGGGUUCUCUGAUCCCAAAGACUGACUCUGGGUCACCCUCGGCCAACAGCAGCCCUUGGGGGAUUUUUUCACUUGUGACCAUUAGUAUCUUCUGGGCUGUGGCCUCCAGCUUUCACCGUGCUCCCUGCAGAAAUGCUGGAGGGCCUGUCCCGCCUCACAUAGUGAGUCAGGGUCACCGCAAGGGCACAGAGCCGAGGAGAUUACAAGAUCAUGGCCUCGAGUUCCUAUACGGACCCUUUUUUCUUUUUUCUUCCUUUUUUUUUUUUUUUGAUGAUGCAGUAUCGAUACUGUGUCGAGAAAUACAUAAAUUGUUACCCGCUGUUAGCAGCUAGAAAAUGGACUAGUUAUGAAAUACCAACAAUCACUUGGGCUGUUUAAAUUCGACUUCAAAACAAGCUCAGUGUUAAUAAAAUGGGCUCAGGGUGGGAGCAGGUGGGGAGACAGGAGGAAUAUUCUGCAAUUUUUUUUUUUUUUUUUUUUUAAACACGGAAGCCACCUGGCUCACCUCUGAGAGGACUUGGGCUGCCCUGCAGAGGUGUGUCUGUUACAACUUGAAGAGCUGAUGAGAAAUCCCAGGGAAAGGGAAAGGAGGCAGCCACAUCCGUUCCACGGAAGGCUCUGCACCAUCCAUGUGGCUCUGAGUUUCUGAGAAGCCAAGGCAGAGAGAGAAGAAGGACAAGCAGUUAGGAGGUCUGCAGGGAGUGCAGGGCCGGGGGCUUUGGAGGGAAGAAAACCAAGAGGGAAGAGUGGGAAUAACCUUGACUCUUGUUUCAGAGAAGGAGUUCCAGUGACUCCUUCAAAGAGCAAACAGCUGUCACUCGUGGUCUCAAGGGACUUCUCCCUCCCUGGCAGAGCUGUGUGUGCAUCUUGGUGUUUUCUGCACCUGCUGGGACAGUCAUCACAAGUCCCUCCCAUGAGGGAAUGAAUUAACGAUUGAACAAGUGAGGGCCACGACUUCCAUGGUCCAAAUCCCAUCCGUCCUUCAGCUGCUGUUCAGGGUCACCUACUCCGGGAAGCCCUCCCUGAAUUCUCCUGCCCUUCCUUAUCGAGACUCCUUCAGUGCUGGAUGGGUGACCGGCAUGUAAAUGCUUUCCCUACGUGCUAAGAAUUGGAAGGCCUUUCUUGUGUUUUCUGGUUGUUCCUCAUUCGAGCUGGACCACAAACUCAUGUGUUCACCACACACUCUUCUAGCUCCUCCCAUUGGCUCCACACUGUGCCAGACUCAAGGAAUUCAAGAGGAAACUGGACAGAUAAGGAGCUUACAGGCUAGUGUUGGGUUUGAAAAACUGCUGCCCGUGGACCAAACCCGACGGCCACCUGGGUUUUGUAAGUAAAGCUUUAUCGGUGGGGCGCCUGGGUGGCUCAGUCGGUGAAGCUUCCGGCUUCGGCUCAGGUCACGAUCCCGCGGUCCGUGAGUUCGAGCCCCGUGACGGGCUCUGUGCUGACAGCUCAGAGCCUGGAGCCUGUUUCGGACUCUGUGUCUCCCUCUCUCUCUGCUCCUCCCCCGCUCGUGCUCUGUCUUUCUCUCUCUCAAAAAUAAAUAAACAUUAAAAAAUUUU